rnacentral:rRNA from 1 species
UACAUGGGGUGCAAACGUUGCUCGGAAUUACUGGGCGUAAAGAGCUCGUAGGUGGUUUGUCGCGUUGUUCGUGAAAACUCACAGCUCAACUGUGGGCGUGCGGGCGAUACGGGCAGACUGGAGUACUGCAGGGGAGACUGGAAUUCCUGGUGUAGCGGUGGAAUGCGCAGAUAUCAGGAGGAACACCGGUGGCGAAGGCGGGUCUCUGGGCAGUAACUGACGCUGAGGAGCGAAAGCGUGGGGAGCGAACAGG